CCGCUUUGGUCUCCUUUUGUUUCGGUUUUGUUUUGUGUUAUCUUGUUGGAUUGUGUUAUCUGUGUAGCAGAAAUAUGGGAUCAGAAAUUAGUAAAAAACAAACCAAAAGAGUUUUAAGUAAAUUGCUAGAAGAAGGAGGCACCCCAGUAAAACCAAGAACAGUUAGGGCAUAUGUUGAUACGAUACAAAAAUGUAGCCCAUGGUUUCUUAAGGAGGGGUUGUUAAAUAUAUCACAAUGGAACCAUCAUGGUGAAGAUUUCAAAAAGAUAGAAAAGGAAAGCCCAGGAACUGUGCCAGUUGGCACAUUACCAUUAUGGACGUUGGUACGAUCUUGUUUGCUUAGUCUAGGAGAAGACAUCUUAAAAGAGGAAGUCUCUCGAGUUACUCAGACAGGGGAAAAAAGUUUAGAGGAGGAAGGGCUAUCAGGGGAGAAGUUACAAUGGGAGGUUGCUACUAACACCUUUCUAUCACCGGAGGGCGUGGGUGUCCAACCAACAGCUCCACCUAUGUAUAUGGAGACAACAUAUGCUGAGUGGCCCUCAACCCCUGUAGUUGAUAGAUGGGAUCCUGAGACAGGACCUCAAAGAAUAGCAUGCCCUGUAUUUGAGGAGGCAGGAGGGCAGUGGAUUCACCAUGCUUUAGAUUUCAAAACAGUGAAGCAGCUGAAAGAGGCUGUAACAACCUAUGGUCCUCAAGCACCCUUCACUGUAAGCAUGGUCGAAUCCAUUACCAACUUGAACAUGACGCCAGCAGAUUGGGCUAGUAUGUGCAAAGCUGUGCUAAAUGGAGGACAAUACCUGUUAUGGAAGGUUGCCAAUCAGGAAUUUUGCACGGAGAUGGCUAGGCGAAAUGCAGCAGCCAGUUAUCCUCAGAGAAAUCUAGAUAUGUUGUUAGGAGAGGGACCUUAUGAGGGUCAGCUGCAACAAAUUAGAUAUGAUCCUGCCAUAUACUCACAAAUCGCUUCAGCUGCGGUUAGGGCAUGGAAAACUUUACAGGGGCAUGGAGAUUUACAAGGCCAAUUAUCUAAGGUAAUACAAGGAACUAAUGAACCUUAUGCUGAAUUUGUAGAUAAGCUUAUACAAACAGCUACCAGAAUCUUUGGAGAUGUAGAACAAGCGAUGCCAUUAAUAAAACAACUAGCCUAUGAACAAGCAAAUAGAUGGUGCAGGGAGGCCAUUAGACCAUGGAAACAUGGAG
rnacentral:lncRNA from 1 species